AAUCUUGCAUCUUCAAGAAUCUGAUGACGGAGCUUUGUAGGAAUGUAUACUAGGGGUGGACCAGGACCUGGCCAAUUCCCUCCAAUUGGAGUAAGCUAUUUCAUUGAGGGCCGAGGAGGUAAUAGUUUUUUUGGUUUUUUCUUUUCAACCUGUUACCAUUAUCAGAAAAUGAUAUAUAAGGAUACUGAUAGCAGCUGACUGGUAAAUCAUAAAAUAAGCCUUGACAAAGGGAAUAAGUGGAAUAGGUAAGAAUACAUCAAUCCUUUAAUGACCUGCUAAGGGAAAAAUAAGCAAAACUGACUUUUAAAUUUUAAAUAUUCAUGCAAAAUCUAAAUUCUACAAAGUCUGCUUCUUUUUAAUUCUCUUAACAUAUGACAAUCUAAAUCUUAAAAGCAUUAUGCUCUGUAAAGAAUGUUGUCAGAUAGCUUUGCUGAAAAAUUUAUCUUCUAAAGCUCAGAGAAAGGAAUAAUAUUGUCCCCAUAAUCUUUGAUCCCAAUCACUUUGGGUCUGAAGAGGGACCCCUCUCUGCCCACAACCUCCCCCAACAUUUUACUUGUGAGUCCUACAUUUUCUACAGGUAAAAUUAAACCAAGCAGGAAUACUCCUUUCUGUAAAAACAACAAACAAGUUACAGUGUAAAUAGUUAUAUUAGUUAUUUUCCAUGUGAAAUAUAAGAUUUUGUGACUUCUUUUGGCACUUAGACAGUUCUUUGUCUGAAAUGGUUCAUUUUGACCCAUUUCCUUGGUCAGUCAAGCGGAAACGGAAGGCCUCUGUUUGUAAGUGGACUCCUGUAUAUCUAACUUUUGAUUAUGUGGGACCAAUGGCCAGUAUAUUCUAAAAAAAACUCCCAACCCUUGUCUAGCAUUAAACUGUUCACCUUGCCAUGUCUAUCUCGCAACAAGACCUAACUUGCACAUGCCUGUUAUUCUGCAUGAUUGGACUCAAGAGACUAUUACCAAUGAUAAGAAUUGUGCUGUGUCAGUGUUUAUAAAAUGGACUUAAAGCACACCCACAUUCAUAUACACCUCACCCUUAUAGCUCUAGGUCAACCCUGGAAGGCAAAACCAUGCAUGUCCAGUUUCUUUGCAAGGUCUUAGUGUGAGAACUAAAAGUCAGCCUGAUGGAUCAAAUGCAAUCUCAGUGAUGUUUAAUAAGGAUUUUAAAUUAUUUAAAUCAUAUCUGUGUUCCUUCUCACUCUUUUUCAUUUCUAUUUAUGCCCUUUAUCUUCAAAAUGUCGGUGGAACAAGAGGGUGAGUGGGGAGAACUUUGGCUUUUUUGGACUCUUUGUAGGUGGAUGCUGAAUCAACACAUUGUGAUUUCUGUUUCUUAUGAACUAUUAAAAACCAGAGCAAAUCUGCUUCCCUUAACAUAAAACCAAAUCAAAUCCAGACUUUGUCGGAGUUUGCCUGUUGAAAAUCAUUCUUGUGCUGCUCGUUGUCUUGGGUUUCCUGUCCUGACAGGAGCUCUGAAGCAUCUCACAUGGUUUCAUUGUG
rnacentral:lncRNA from 1 species